UACGUAGGAGGCAAGCGUUGUCCGGAAUUACGUGGCGUAAAGGCGCGUGUAGGUGGUGGGACAAGUCUGCUGUGAAAGCGCCUGGCUUAACCGGGCGAGGUCGGCGGAAACUGUCCGACUCGGAGGACGGUAGAGGGGGGUGGAAUUCCCGGUGUAGAGGUGAAAUUCGUAGAUAGUCGGGAAGGACACCGAUGGCGAAGGCAGCCCCUGGGCUAACACUGACGCUCAUGCACGAAGCGUGGGAGC
rnacentral:rRNA from 1 species